rnacentral:rRNA from 1 species
UACGAAGGGAGCUAGCGUUGUUCGGAAUAACUGGGCGUAAAGGGAGCGUAGGUGGAUAGGAACGUUAGAUGUGAAAGCCCCGGGCUUAACCUGGGAACGGCAUUUAAAACGGUUUAUCUAGAAGACGAGAGGGGAAAGCGGAAUGGCGAGUGGAGCAGUGAAAUGCGUAGAGAUGUGGAAGAACACCGAUGGCGAAGGCAGCCCCCUGGGAUGAGACUGACGCUCAUGUACGAAAGCGUGGGGAGCAAACAGG